rnacentral:rRNA from 1 species
UCAAGAAACUUCCACAAUGGGCGAAAGCCUGAUCCAGCCAUGCCGCGUGUGUGAAGAAGGUCUUCGGAUUGUAAAGCACUUUAAGUUGGGAGGAAGGGCAGUUACCUAAUACGUGAUUGUUUUGACGUUACCGACAGAAUAAGCACCGGCUAACUCUGUGCCAGCAGCCGCGGUAAUACAGAGGGUGCAAGCGUUAAUCGGAAUUACUGGGCGUAAAGCGCGCGUAGGUGGUUUGUUAAGUUGGAUGUGAAAUCCCCGGGCUCAACCUGGGAACUGCAUUCAAAACUGACAAGCUAGAGUAUGGUAGAGGGUGGUGGAAUUUCCUGUGUAGCGGUGAAAUGCGUAGAUAUAGGAAGGAACACCAGUGGCGAAGGCGACCACCUGGACUGAUACUGACACUGAGGUGCGAAAGCGUGGGGAGCAAACAGGAUUAGAUACCCCGGUAGUCCCUGAGCGGGCUGGCAAGGCGCAU